rnacentral:rRNA from 1 species
GAGUUUGAUCCUGGCUCAGAUUGAACGCUGGCGGCAUGCUUUACACAUGCAAGUCGGACGGCAGCACAGAGAAGCUUGCUUCUUGGGUGGCGAGUGGCGAACGGGUGAGUAACGCAUCGGAACGUACCGAGUAGUGGGGGAUAACUGUCCGAAAGGAUGGCUAAUACCGCAUACGCUUUGAGAAGGAAAGCGGGGGAUCUUCGGACCUCGCGCUAUUCGAGCGGCCGAUGUCUGAUUAGCUAGUUGGUGGGGUAAAGGCCUACCAAGGCGACGAUCAGUAGCGGGUCUGAGAGGAUGAUCCGCCACACUGGGACUGAGACACGGCCCAGACUCCUACGGGAGGCAGCAGUGGGGAAUUUUGGACAAUGGGCGCAAGCCUGAUCCAGCCAUGCCGCGUGUCUGAAGAAGGCCUUCGGGUUGUAAAGGACUUUUGUCAGGGAAGAAAAGCUUUGGGUUAAUACCCUGGAGUGAUGACG